rnacentral:rRNA from 1 species
CCGGCGGACGGGUGCGUAACGCGUAUGCAACCUGCCUGACACAGGGGGAUAAUCCGAAGAAAUUUGGUCUAAUACCCCAUAAUACCGAUAUAGGCAUCUAUGUUGGUCGAAAGCUUUGGUGGUGUCAGAUAGGCAUGCGUUGUAUUAGCUAGUUGGUGAGGUAACGGCUCACCAAGGCGACGAUACAUAGGGGGACUGAGAGGUUAACCCCCCACCACUGGUACUGAGACACGGACCAGACUCCUACGGGAGGCAGCAUG